AGUUGCGGUCAUAUCCACAGAAAAGCACCGAACCCGUUAGAUCUCCGAAGUUAAUCCUAGUGUGAGCUUAAUUAGUACUAUGGUGGGCGACCACAUGGGAACAUUAAGUACUGCAA
rnacentral:rRNA from 1 species